UGGGUAACCUGCCUCAAAGAGGGGAAUAGCCUCCCGAAAGGGAGAUUAAUACCGCAUAAUAUGUUUAGGUCGCAUGACUUUAACAUCAAAGGAUUUCUUUUAGAAAUUCCACUUUGAGAUGGACCCCGCGGCGCAUUAGCUAGUUGGUGAGGUAACGGCUCACCAAGGCAACGAUGCGUAGCCGACCUGAGAGGGUNAUCGGCCACAUUGGAAACUAAGACACGAUCCAGACUCCGUAGG
rnacentral:rRNA from 1 species